CCGGCGCACGGGUGAGUAACGCGUAUGCAACUUGCCUAUCAGGAGGGGAUAACCCGGCGAAAGUCGGACUAGUACCGCAUGAAGCAGGGGCCCCGCAUGGGGAUAUUUGCUAAAGAUUCAUCGCUGAUAGAUAGGCAUGCGUUCCAUUAGGCAGUUGGCGGGGUAACGGCCCACCAAACCGACGAUGGAUAGGGGUUCUGAGAGGAAGGUCCCCCACAUUGGACUGAGACACGGCCAA
rnacentral:rRNA from 1 species